rnacentral:tRNA from 2 species
GCUCCCGUAGCUCAGAUGGAUAGAGCGGCGGACUUCUAAUCCGUAGGUCGUAGGUUCGAUUCCUACCGGGGGCG